rnacentral:rRNA from 1 species
GGAAUCUUAGACAAUGGGCGCAAGCCUGAUCUAGCCAUGCCGCGUGAGCGAUGAAGGCCUUAGGGUUGUAAAGCUCUUUCACCGGGGAAGAUAAUGACGGUACCAACAGAAGAAGCCCCGGCUAACUCCGUGCCAGCAGCCGCGGUAAUCCGGAGGGGGCGAGCGUUAUUCGGAAUUACUGGGCGUAAAGCGCACAUAGGCUGACUGGAAAGUUAGAGGUGAAAUCCCAGGGCUCAACCUUGGAACUGCCUUUAAAACUAUCAGUCUAGAGAUCGAGAGAGGUGAGUGGAAUUCCGAGUGUAGAGGUGAAAUUCGUAGAUAUUCGGAGGAACACCAGUGGCGAAGGCGGCUCACUGGCUCGAUACUGACGCUGAGGUGCGAAAGCGUGGGGAGCAAAC